UACAGAGGUCUCAAGCGUUGUUCGGAUUCAUUGGGCGUAAAGGGUGCGUAGGUGGCGAUGUAAGUCUGGUGUGAAAUCUCGGGGCUCAACCUCGAAAUUGCAUUGGAUACUGCGUUGCUUGAGGAUUGUAGAGGAGAGUGGAAUUCACGGUGUAGCAGUGAAAUGCGUAGAUAUCGUGAGGAAGACCAGUUGCGAAGGCGACUCUCUGGGCAACUCCUGACACUGAGGCACGAAGGCCAGGGGAGCAAACGGG
rnacentral:rRNA from 1 species